AACUGGAGGUGGGGACUAGCUGUAAUUUGGAUACAAAGUGAGAACUGGAAUUGGGUCCAGAGUAUAAAUAGUGCGAAUCAGAAGGGCUUUGUGUGAACCCAUCACCAUUGCAGACAGAACAGCAACUGGACCAGAGACAUCGCUGGAACCCAGGGUGGCUGUCAUCUGACUUCUACAGCAACAACUCCAAAUUACAGAAACACUGCUGAGAUGGGGAAAAUCAUCAUUUAUGAGCACGCCAACUUCCAGGGGUACUCCAAAGAACUCACCAGAGACGUUGCCAAUCUGAGAGAUGUAGAUUGGAAUGACUGUAUCUCCUCAGUGAAAGUAAUUGGACAGCCUUGGGUGGCUUAUGAGCAUGCCAACUAUAAAGGCCGGUUAACGGUAUUUGAAGAGGGAGAGCAUAGCUUUGUUGGUAGAGAGUUGAAUGACAAGAUCUCUUCCCUGAUGUUGAUUACUGAAAAUUUACACAAUCCACAGAUCACUAUCUAUGAACAUGACCAAUAUCAAGGGAAGAGCAGGGUGAUAAGAGAAGCUACCAAUUUGGCUAGGGGGCAUGACAAUGACAUGGCAUCUUCUCAUAAAGUGCAGCGAGGUGUCUGGCUGUUGUGUGAACAUAGCGAUGGAGGUGGUUUUCGCUACAUUGCACGAGAGCAUGAACACCUUCCAAGUUACAGAGCAAUUAAUUUCGAUGACAAGCUUUCAUUUCUGCGUCCCCUUCUCCCUGGAAAGCAUUGUCACUGAUGAAUAGCAAAUUCUGAAGUCCUAAGGGUACAUGUAGCCCUAGCAAGAAAGAUGGGACCUAGAUCUCUCUGCUUUUUUUUUUUUUUUUUUUUUUUUUUUUUUUUUUUUUUUUUUUUUUUUUUUAUUUCCCCUUUUGGCAUAGAAAUACUGAAUGGGAGAGCUCUCUUUUAUGCUAUGCUGCUGAUGUGUAUUUCUGAAUCCUGUGUGGCACUGUUCUCCUUCCCCAUGAUCCCAAUGAAUGUAAGAACUAUCGUAUUUAGUCAUAUGAAAAAAAACUCAAUGAUAAGAGAUGAUCUUGUAGUGCGUAACCUGUAACUAGCAUUCCAAAGUACUAAACCAUGUAAUGUGAAAAUGUUGCAUGUUGCUUCUGUUGCUAUAUGCAUAAUCACAUAUGUAGUGUAUAACCAGAACUGCUGACUUUAUAUUCUUCUUUACAAUGCUCUUGCUUCACAAUGACCUCCGAAAUUUUUUUUUCUAUUCCAUUUUGCAUUGUUACCAAUAAAGAAGAUAUUGCAGGCAACAAUA